GACGAACGCUGGCGGCGUGCUUAACACAUGCAAGUCGAACGGUGAAGCGCCUUCCUUUUUGGUGGGUGUGGAUGAGUGGCGAACGGGUGAGUAACACGUGAGUAACCUGCCCCCCUCUUCUGGAUAACCGCAUGAAAGUGUGGCUAAUACGGGAUAUUCUGGGUCUGUCGCAUGAUGGGUCUGGGAAAGAUAUUGUUUCGGUGGGGGAUGGGCUCGCGGCCUAUCAGCUUGUUGGUGGGGUGAUGGCCUACCAAGGCGGUGACGGGUAGCCGGCCUGAGAGGGUUGACGGUCACACUGGGACUGAGACACGGCCCAGACUCCUACGGGAGGCAGCAGGGGGGAAUAUUGCACAAUGGGCGCAAGCCUGAUGCAGCGACGCCGCGUGAGGGAUGGAGGCCUUCGGGUUGUGAACCUCUUUCGCCAGUGAAGCAGGCCUGCCUCGUUUGUGGGUGGGUUGACGGUAGCUGGAUAAGAAGCGCCGGCUAACUACGUG
rnacentral:rRNA from 1 species